rnacentral:rRNA from 1 species
GCUCAGGACGAACGCUGGCGGCGUGCCUAAUACAUGCAAGUCGAGCGAACAGAGAAGGAGCUUGCUCCUUUGACGUUAGCGGCGGACGGGUGAGUAACACGUGGGCAACCUACCUUAUAGUUUGGGAUAACUCCGGGAAACCGGGGCUAAUACCGAAUAAUCUGUUUCACCUCAUGGUGAAAUAUUGAAAGACGGUUUCGGCUGUCGCUAUAGGAUGGGCCCGCGGCGCAUUAGCUAGUUGGUGAGGUAACGGCUCACCAAGGCGACGAUGCGUAGCCGACCUGAGAGGGUGAUCGGCCACACUGGGACUGAGACACGGCCCAGACUCCUACGGGAGGCAGCAGUAGGGAAUCUUCCACAAUGGGCGAAAGCCUGAUGGAGCAACGCCGCGUGAGUGAAGAAGGAUUUCGGUUCGUAAAACUCUGUU